UACGAGUGGUGCAAGCGUUAUUCGGAAUCACUGGGCGUAAAGGGUGUGUAGGCGGCAUUUCAAGUCUAUUGUUAAAUCUCCCAGCUUAACUGGGAACAUGCAAUGGAUACUGAUGUGAUAGAGGGUGGAAGAGAGAAGUGGAAUUCUCGGAGUAGCGGUAAAAUGCGUAGAUAUCGAGAGGAACACCGAUGGCGAAGGCAGCUUCUUGGUCCACACCUGACGCUGAUACACGAAAGCGUGGGGAGCAAACAGG
rnacentral:rRNA from 1 species